rfam:Salmo salar isolate Sally breed double haploid chromosome ssa03, whole genome shotgun sequence.
AAUGCACCAAUUUGUAAGUCGCUCUGGAUAAGAGCGUCUGAUAAAUGACUAAAA